rnacentral:lncRNA from 1 species
GACUUGUUGAGCGGAGCCUGCGCCAGUGGCCCCGGCGACACGUACGUACCGUGCGGUGGUGUACGUGUACCCGGCGCUGCUGCAGGGGGCCAGCGAGACAUGAGCUAGCGCGACCGAGGCGGAGCAGUUGCCGACGGAGUAGUGCGGCCUCGUCCGACGUGGACAAACAGCCAGGAACAAUUUGUCAACGGCGAGCGCAGGAGCCUCCUUGGGCCGUUCCCCCCGACCACGAACGCCGCCCAUCCCAUCCACGAACGCCGCACGCACCGACCGCUGUGUCACCGCC